rnacentral:lncRNA from 1 species
GUCCUGUGCUGCAGAGCUGACUGUCACUGAAAACAAGCAAUGGAGGAAGUUUAUGUCAAUGGGGAAUUUUCCAAAUCUUACAACUCAGUAGCUUCAACUAAUAAUUACAUCGGUCCAAGGAGCUCUAAGAGGAGUUUCUCUUCACCCAUUAUUCUCUCUUUGGGCCUUCUGAACAUUUUCCUGUUGGUUGGACUCAUCACCCUCAGUGUCUACUUGCACGGUUCAGCUACAAGUGUCUCUGCCACUAGCAGCAACAUUUCCUCCAUGACUGAAGACGGAAACCAUCUGAAGGCAAAUCUUUCCACUGUCAGAAACAAACUUUCCUCCAUGACUGAGGAGAGAGACCUUCUGCAUACCCGUCUCACUGAAAAGACCAAAGAGCUGGAAAGACUUCAGAGUUUGUCCAAACAGAGUGAGUCCUUGUAUUUCCUGUUGAGAUUGAUUUGUUUUGUGUCUUUGUAAAAGUUUUCACUGUGAAAUGCAGUUAUUCAGUUUUCCAACAUUGUGAUAAGAUCUUUGACUC